rnacentral:piRNA from 1 species
UACAAAAGCAGGACCGUUGUCCAAUCC